UACGGAAGGGGCAAGCGUUGUCCGGAAUCAUUGGGCGUAAAGCGCGUGUAGGCGGCCAGAAAAGUCCGCUGUGAAAACUCGAGGCUCAACUUCGAGCUGUCGGUGGAAACUUUCUGGCUAGAGUCCGGAAGAGGAGAAUGGAAUUCCUGGUGUAGCGGUGAAAUGCGCAGAUAUCGGGAAGAACACCCGUGGCUAAGGCGGCUCUCUAGUACGGUACUGACGCUGAGACGCGAAAGCGUGGGGAGCGAACAGG
rnacentral:rRNA from 1 species